rnacentral:ncRNA from 2 species
CGAAUCCUUCGGGGCAGGGUGAAAUUCCCUACCGGCGGUGAUGGACGCGGUUGGACGCCUGACGGCGCGACUGCGGACUUAGUCCGUGACCCGGAUGUACCUUGCGGUAUAUGCGGUGGACCUGGUGAAAAUCCGGGACCGACAGUAUAGUCUGGAUGGGAGAAGGAGAGA